rnacentral:rRNA from 1 species
UACGUAGGGGGCAAGCGUUGUCCGGAAUCAUUGGGCGUAAAGCGCGCGUAGGCGGCCCGGUAAGUCCGUUGUGAAAGUCAAAGGCUCAACCUUUGAAUGCCGAUGGAUACUGCCGGGCUGGAGUCCGGAAGAGGCGAGUGGAAUUCCUGGUGUAGCGGUGGAAUGCGCAGAUAUCAGGAGGAACACCGGUGGCGAAGGCGGGUCUCUGGGCAGUAACUGACGCUGAGGAGCGAAAGCGUGGGGAGCGAACAGG